UACGUAGGGACCAAGCGUUGUUCGGAUUUACUGGGCGUAAAGGGCGCGUAGGCGGCAAUUCAAGUCAUCUGUGAAAUCUCCGGGCUUAACCCGGAACGGUCAGAUGAUACUGCUUUGCUAGAGUGCGGAAGGGGCAAUCGGAAUUCUUGGUGUAGCGGUGAAAUGCGUAGAUAUCAAGAGGAACACCUGAGGUGAAGACGGGUUGCUGGGCCGUUACUGACGCUGAGGAGCGAAAGCGUGGGGAGCGAACAGG
rnacentral:rRNA from 1 species